rnacentral:misc_RNA from 1 species
CAGUUGGUGCCCGACCCGAGUCCGGAUGAUGGGCUGGUCAACCCGUGCAUACUCCAAAUCACAAUGUUUGAGUGCGGUGGGUAUACCCUGGGAGCUGCAAUACACCAUGCCUUGUGUGAUGGGCUUGGAGCCACCCAGUUUUUUUAAUGUCAUGGCGGAGUUGGCUCGCGGGGCGGACCUGAUUUCGAUUGAACCGGUGUGGGACAGGACGACUUUGUUGAGCCCGAGGGACCCACCCCAGACUGAUGGAGCGAUAAGGGAGUUUUUGGGGUUGGAGAAAGGGUCUGAACCGUACGGUCAGGCGGUUGGUAAGGUUGCUAGGGCGUGUUUCAAUGUAAAGGAUGAGUGGUUGGAUCUGUUCAAGAAAGUGCUGCUUCAGAAGAGUGGCUCAAAUUUCACCACGUUUGAAGCUUUGGGUGCAUUCUUAUGGCGGGGCGAGG